AGCGGCGGACGGGUGAGUAACACGUGGGCAACCUGCCCCUUAGACUGGGAUAACUCCGGGAAACCGGAGCUAAUACCCGGAUAAUCCCUUUCUCCACCUGGAGAGAGGGUGAAAGAUGGCUUCGGCUAUCAACUAGGGGAUGGGCCCGCGGCGCAUUAGCUAGUUGGUAAGGUAACGGCUUACCAAGGCAACGAUGCGUAGCCGACCUGAGAGGGUGAUCGGCCACACUGGGACUGAGACACGGCCCAGACUCCUACGGGAGGCAGCAGUAGGGAAUCUUCCGCAAUGGACGAAAGUCUGACGGAGCAACGCCGCGUGAGUGAGGAAGGCCUUCGGGUCGUAAAGCUCUGUUGUGAGGGAAGAAGCGGUACCGUUCGAAUAGGGCGGUACCUUGACGGUACCUCACCAGAAAGCCACGGCUAACUACGUGCCAGCCGCCGC
rnacentral:rRNA from 1 species